rnacentral:lncRNA from 1 species
GCUCAGAGCCAGGGUCUCUGCUGGGGUCAGCGUCUGUACGCUAAAGCCAGGGCGCAAAGUGCGUGGGCACUGCGGACACUAGAGGCUUAUGGCGCUGGAAAUACAAGGCCGAGUUGCCGGCGCAAAGAGUUCCCCGGGCGGGUUGGUGAUGCGGCGCGCUUUGAUAACAGGUUAAUCCGGCCAACAUUCGCUCCGCGAGAGAGCCAUCGGAGGGCUCCGGGAGACUGCGGCGCCACGGAGGGAGAGGCGGCGAGAGGCCCCUCUGCGAGCACCCUCUGGGCGCAGUGCGGUGGGCUAUGCUCUGCGCAGCCCCGGGCGCGCCUGGGUUCUCAGAGCCCAAGACCUGAGCCGCUCCGAGCGCAGGGCGCCAGUUCUCUUUCAGAAGCGGGAGAAGUUCAGGUGCCCAACACCUUGAUCAGUGCCUGCUUUGUAGUAGGCAUUCAAAUACUGUGGACUGGAUGAAUGGAGUCACUUCCCUUCCAACCUGCACACCAACGUGGUUGAACUGCCUCCUUUCUAAGUGCCAAAGUCUGUUUUACAAGGCUGAUAUCAAAGGAGCAUUACAAAAUAUUGUCUAACAGAAGUACCAGGGCUGGAUCCCAAAGUUUUGUGUAGAUCUUGAUAAAGAGUUUGGAUUUUAUUCUAACAAGAGUGAAGAGCAUGACAAUGUUUGCAGAAGAGUGAUGGCUUCUUUCAGGCAACAGUGACAAUUACACCUCCUCUUUUUCUCUUUGAUCCUCCACCCUCUCCCUCCAGCACCUGGUACAAAGCUGGGUACCCAGCAGACACUCUGUAAAUUAAAGUGCUGCCAGCCUGAACAAUCUCAGUGGAAGAGCUAAGUGGGUCCAUUUCCUUGCUUUACAAAUGAAGUCGCUGAGGCUCAGAGGGGUUAAGUUCUUUUCCUGAGCUAGGUAAUAUCUGGUUAAGUAAGAUCUGAUAAGUGUGUGUGUGUGUGUGUGUGUGUGUGUGUGUGUGUGUGUGUGUGUGUCUGUGUGCUUGGACAGGGGGUGCUUCCGCCUUUCACUGCCCCAAUAGGAGUCAGUCCUGUUCCUUUUCACUUCUCUACUUGAUGCUCUACCCACCGGCCUCAGGCCAUAUGCCCUGGUCCACCCUGCUCACAGAACUUCCCGCCUGGCCCCUGUUACCUGACCGAUGCCACAGGCAUCACUGGGUCCCAGGAGCCAGCCUCUUUACUUUUGGACCCCAGGCCAGGAUCUAAAAAUAUCUCUGAGUAUUUCCAACACCUACAACAGAUGCGCCUGCAAAUUACCUGGUCCCAGUGGUGGGGAGCAGGGGAGGAAAGGGCAUCGUUGUUCUAAAAGCAUUACACAUUUAAUUUGCAAAGUUACAUCAUGCAUUUGUGCACAGGUCAACUUUCUAGGAGUCGAUUUCGAAAACAGAGACAGGUUGAGGAUCCUGAGGGUGUUCUUUGCAGAGAAGGCAGGGGAGGUUGUGGAGGCCUGUCAGAUGCUUUCACACACUCAAGGCCAGUACUCCUCUUCCCUCUCAUAGAUGAGAAAUGAUGGACAUUCAUGGGGUCCUUUCUCUGCGUGUGCCAGGUACCUCUGCAGACACCAUUAUAUUUCUUUCUGAGAUCAACCUUGCAGAGUGUGCCUUGGUGUCAUCCUCAUCUUACAGGUGUGGAAGCUGAGGCCUAAUGAGGCCAUGUGUCUUCCGUUCCCCUUAUACACCAUGGGACAUGGGGCAGAGCAUAAGCUUGAACCCCGGUCUCUAGGUUUUUUUCUACCACACAGUGCAGUGAGAGACAUGAAGGGGGUUGAUGUGUAUGGAAUACAUAUACAUGCGCAUCCAGCUAUACUUUUAAAAAAAUUAUUAUUGGAUGGGUCUGGGUUCUCUAUUUUAUAAGUGACACAUACAACUAUUGAACCCAUGUGAGAUUAUAGCCAGGAGUGCAUAAAAAACUGUCCUCAGAACAAGUUGAAUGGGAAGUUGGUAAAAACGAAUAAGGUUGAGUUCACUCCACAGCCCCACAGAUGCAACUGAUUUAAUUGACCAAAUAGUUUUCUUGAAUUACUGUUGUUAAUUUAAGAGUUUAAAAAAAUUAACUUGAGAGUAGUUUUGUGUGCUAACCGGAUGAUUUAGAAGGUUAUUUGGUUGAUAAAAUGAAUCCUUGAUACAUUAUAGUUAUAAAGUUAAAACCCUAUUCCUUACUUAUGCUUCUAA